GCCCCCUUAGUUAAAUGGAUAUAACAAGUCCCUCCUAAGGAUUAGUUAUCAGUUCGAUUCUGGUAGGGGGCG
rnacentral:tRNA from 1 species